UACGUAGGGGGCACGCGUUGUCCGGAAUCAUUGGGCGUAAAGCGCGUGUAGGCGGCUCGGUAAGUCUGCUGUGAAAGUCCAGGGCUCAACCCUGGGAUGCCGGUGGAUACUGUCGAGCUCGAGUCCGGAAGAGGCGAGUGGAAUUCCUGGUGUAGCGGUGAAAUGCGCAGAUAUCAGGAAGAACACCCGUGGCGAAGGCGGCUCUCUGGGACGGUACUGACGCUGAGACGCGAAAGCGUGGGGAGCGAACAGG
rnacentral:rRNA from 1 species